AAUGAACGCUGGCGGCGUGCCUAAUACAUGCAAGUCGAGCGAACAGAUAAGGAGCUUGCUCCUUUGACGUUAGCGGCGGACGGGUGAGUAACACGUGGGUAACCUACCUAUAAGACUGGAAUAACUCCGGGAAACCGGGGCUAAUGCCGGAUAACAUUUAGAACCGCAUGGUUCUAAAGUGAAUGAUGGUUUUGCUAUCACUUAUAGAUGGACCCGCGCCGUAUUAGCUAGUUGGUAAGGUAACGGCUUACCAAGGCAACGAUACGUAGCCGACCUGAGAGGGUGAUCGGCCACACUGGAACUGAGACACGGUCCAGACUCCUACGGGAGGCAGCAGUAGGGAAUCUUCCGCAAUGGGCGAAAGCCUGACGGAGCAACGCCGCGUGAGUGAUGAAGGUCUUCGGAUCGUAAAACUCUGUUAUUAGGGAAGAACAAAUGUGUAAGUAACUGUGCACGUCUUGACGGUACCUAAUCAGAAAGCCACGGCUAACUACGUG
rnacentral:rRNA from 1 species